rnacentral:rRNA from 1 species
UACGGAAGGUGCAAGCGUUGUUCGGAGUGACUGGGCGUAAAGCGCACGUAGUCGGAUUUGUAAGUCGGAUGUGAAAUCCCCGAGCUUAACUUGGGAAUUGCAUCCGAAACUACAAGUCUUGAAUACCUCAGGGGUUGGUGGAAUUCCAGGUGUAGGAGUGAAAUCCGUAGAGAUCUGGAGGAACACCGGAGGCGAAGGCGGCCAACUGGGAGUGUAUUGACGAUGAGGUGCGAAAGCGUGGGGAGCAAACAGG